rnacentral:rRNA from 1 species
GAUGAACGCUGGCGGCGUGCCUAAUACAUGCAAGUCGAACGGAGAUUCUGUCGUAAUUCGUUACAGCGGAAAUCUCAGUGGCGAACGGGUGAGUAACGCGUUGGUGACCUGCCCCGGAGAGGGGGAUAACAGCUUGAAAGGGCUGCUAAUACCCCAUGAUGUCUAUAGGGUUAGAAACUUAUAGACGAAAGGCUUCGGUUGCUUCGGGAGGGGCCUGCGUCCCAUCAGCUAGUUGGUAGGGUAAUGGCCUACCAAGGCGAAGACGGGUAGGGGACCUGAGAGGGUGACCCCCCACAAUGGAACUGAAACACGGUCCAUACACCUACGGGUGGCAGCAGUAGGGAAUAUUGCACAAUGGGCGAAAGCCUGAUGCAGCAACGCCGCGUGCGCGAAGAAGGCCUUCGGGUUGUAAAGCGCUUUUCGGGGAGAAGAGGAAGGACGGUUCCC